rnacentral:lncRNA from 1 species
CAAAAAAAAAUAUACUUACUUAACUGAUUAUUAUGUGUGUCAAAUGAAUAUAUACAAUGAGGUGUUUGUUUACAUACUCUUAACACCAAAAAUGAAAUAUUUGAUCGAACUCACGAUUAUAUUUUCGACAAGGUAGAUGGGUUAUUUCGACAUGUUGCAAAGUGCAAAGAGAUUUCGACCAAGAGCAUACAGACUUCGAUACACCGCAAUUUCGACCAAAGACAAACAUAAAUAAUUCGAAGUUGCAAUUGGAGCGCAUGGUGACAAACAAGCCUGAAGUUUAUUGAAGUUAUUUUUUAAUGUCUUGUGAUUAUGCCAAGUGUAGGGCUCUAAGUAUAGGAAGUUAUUGAUAGUUUUUUCUACAAAGUCUAUAUAUAUCAGUUUGUAAUGAUAACAAUGGGUUGAUUUCUUGAUUUCUGAAAACUCUGUAACACCCACGCCAUAGGAGCAAACGGGUCCAGGAGUGGAGAGAUUGACAGAUUCCGACCACCCUUUACAUUCCUACAAUUUAAUAUCAUUGUUCUUGUUUUACUUUCCUUUUUCGUUUGCAUUUCUUUUCAUCUUUAUUCUAUUUCUUCUUCUUUUUAACAUGCUCACUUGAGCAAUUUUCUAUCAUGUUGUCAUGAGACAACUUGUUAUUACAAGAUGUUGGAAGCAAUUCUGACAUUAAUGUUCUUAAAUAAUGUUUGAAGUGAUGUCAUAAACCGCGAGGCUUGAACGAUCCCCCUUUAAACAUACAUUUGUCACCAUCGAUUGACAUUUAUGUCCUAAAACCAUUGAUGGAUAAUGAAGUUUACAUUACCAAAAAUCGGUGUAAACACGUACAAAGCUAGUCCUACCGGCCAAAGCAUCGUGGCCUACAAAAUCUAGCCUUGUUCAGUUACUUUCGCCAGUAGAGCGUAUUUCUUCAUGUUGCAGGGUGUACGUGGUGCCUAUGUUUGGCUUUCUCCCCUUGUUUUGUGGCAUUUCCAUUUUUCUUAUCCAUGUAUGCAUUAAUUUUCUAGACCAUGCUUCCGUCAAAGUAGUUAUUCUAGUUAGUGGAGCUACAAACAUAGAAUAUAGGGAAAAUGCUCAAGUUUCGUGACCGUGAACUUUUGUGGACUUAAGAAAGACAUGUCUAGCUCGUAUUUGAUCAUUUUUGUAUCCUUCAAUUAUAUAUAUAUAUACACACAAUGUACACAUCAAUUAUGUGAAAAAUGUAAACUCUAAGACGGAUUCAAACUAUGAUCAAAACAUUGACCUAACAAUUUCGUUAUAUUUACCGG